rfam:Clavibacter michiganensis subsp. sepedonicus complete genome
GCACGCAUCGCGGGAGAGCUCCUCCGGGAGCACCGAAGGAGCAAGCCUCCCCGCCAAUCUCUCAGGUCCACGUACCGCGAUGCACUG